ensembl:snRNA U6 U6 spliceosomal RNA
GCGAUCGCUUCGGCAGCACAGAUACUAAGAUCGGAACGAUACAGAGAAGAUUAGCGUGGCCCCUGCCCGAGGAGGACAUGCUAACGUUCAGUAAGGAAAAGAAAUACC